ACUCCUACGGGAGGCAGCAGUGGGGAAUUUUGGACAAUGGGCGCAAGCCUGAUCCAGCCAUGCCGCGUGAGUGAAGAAGGCCUUCGGGUUGCAAAGCUCUUUCGGCCGGGAAGAGAUCGCACAGGUUAAUACCCUGUGUGGAUGACGGUACCGGAAUAAGAAGCACCGGCUAACUACGUGCCAGCAGCCGCGGUAAUACGUAGGGUGCGAGCGUUAAUCGGAAUUACUGGGCGUAAAGCGUGCGCAGGCGGUUUUGUAAGACAGGCGUGAAAUCCCCGGGCUCAACCUGGGAACUGCGUUUGUGACUGCAAGGCUAGAGUAUGGCAGAGGGGGGUGGAAUUCCACGUGUAGCAGUGAAAUGCGUAGAGAUGUGGAGGAACACCGAUGGCGAAGGCAGCCCCCUGGGCCAAUACUGACGCUCAUGCACGAAAGCGUGGGUAGCAAACAGGAUUAGAUACCCUGGUAGUC
rnacentral:rRNA from 1 species